rnacentral:rRNA from 1 species
UACGUAGGGGCCAAGCGUUGUCCGGAUUUAUUGGGCGUAAAGAGCUCGUAGGCGGUUGGGUAAGUCGGGUGUGAAAACUCCAGGCUCAACUUGGAGACGCCACCCGAUACUGCUCUGACUUGAGUUCGGUAGGGGAGUGGGGGAAUUCCUGGUGUAGCGGUGGAAAUGACGCAGAUAUCAGGAGGAACACCGGUGGCGAAGGCGCCACUCUGGGCCGAAACUGACGCUGGGGGAGCGAAAAGCGUGGGUAGCAAACAGG